UACGGAGAGUGCAAGCGUUAUCCGGAUUCACUGGGUUUAAAGGGUGCGUAGGUGGGUCUGUAAGUCAGUGGUGAAAUCUCCGGGCUUAACCCGGAAACUGCCAUUGAUACUAUAGGUCUUGAAUUAUCUGGAGGUGAGCGGAAUAUGUCAUGUAGCGGUGAAAUGCUUAGAUAUGACAUAGAACACCAAUUGCGAAGGCAGCUCACUACGGAUAUAUUGACACUGAGGCACGAAAGCGUGGGGAUCAAACAGG
rnacentral:rRNA from 1 species